AUCUGAUAAAGGCAAACCCAAUGAAAAUUGGGGACGCAAAACACGGGCCUUAAGGUAGUAGUGACCAAGGUAGCCGGGUUACCAAA
rnacentral:ncRNA from 1 species